UACGGAGGGUGCGAGCGUUGUCCGGAAUCACUGGGCGUAAAGGGCGCGUAGGUGGCGCGGGCAGUCAACGGUGAAAGUUCGGGGCUCAACCCCGAAUCGGCCGUCGAUACUCCCGGGCUUGAGCACUGUAGAGGCUAAUGGAAUUCCGGGUGUAGCGGUGGAAUGCGGUAGAGAUCCGGAAGAACACCGGUGGCGAAGGCGGUUAGCUGGGGCAGUUGCUAGACUAG
rnacentral:rRNA from 1 species